AUUGAACGCUGGCGGCAGGCCUAACACAUGCAAGUCGAACGAGUGGCGGACGGGUGAGUAAUGUCUGGGAAACUGCCUGAUGGAGGGGGCUAACUACUGGAAACGGUAGCUAAUACCGCAUACCAUCGGAUGUGCCCAGAUGGGAUGAGCUAGUUGGUGGGGUAACGGCUCACCUAGGCGACGAUCCCUAGCUGGUCUGAGAGGAUGACCAGCCACACUGGAACUGAGACACGGUCCAGACUCCUACGGGAGGCAGCAGUAGGGAAUAUUGGACAAUGGACGCAAGCCUGAUGCAGCCAUGCCGCGUGUGUGAAGAAGGCCUUCGGGUUGUAAAGCACUUUCAGCAGGGAGGCGUUACCCAAAGAAGAAGCACCGGCUAACUCCGUGCCAGCAGCCGCGGUAAUUC
rnacentral:rRNA from 1 species